rnacentral:rRNA from 1 species
CCUACGGGUGGCAGCAGUGGGGGAUAUUGCACAAUGGGGGAAACCCUGAUGCAGCGACGCCGCGUGGGUGAAGAAGCGCCUCGGCGCGUAAAGCCCUGUCAGCAGGGAAGAAAAUGACGGUACCUGAAGAAGAAGCCCCGGCUAACGACGUGCCCGCAGCCGCGGUAAUACAGAGGGGGCAAGCGUUAUCCGGAUUUACUGGGUGUACAGGGGGCGCAGACGGCGAUGCCAGCCAGGAGUGAAAGCCCGGGGCCCAACCCCGGGACUGCGCUUGGAACUGCGUGGCGAGAGUGCAGGAGGGCCCGGCGGAAUUCCUGGUGUAGCGGUGACAUGCGU